rnacentral:rRNA from 1 species
AGAGAACGUUGGGGGCAGGCCUAACACAUGCAAGUCGAACGAACCUUUCGGGGUUAGUGGCGGACGGGUGAGUAACACGUGGGAACGUGCCUUUAGGUUCGGAAUAACUCAGGGAAACUUGUGCUAAUACCGAAUGUGCCCUUCGGGGGAAAGAUUAAUCGCCUUUAGAGCGGCCCGCGUCUGAUUAGCUAGUUGGUUGAGGUAAUGGCUCACCAAGGCGACGAUCAGUAGCUGGUCUGAGAGGAUGAUCAGCCACAUUGGGACUGAGACACGGCCCAAACUCCUACGGGAGGCAGCAGUGGGGAAUCUUGCGCAAUGGGCGAAAGCCUGACGCAGCCAUGCCGCGUGAAUGAUGAAGGUCUUAGGAUUGUAAAAUUCUUUCACCGGGGACGAUAAUGACGGUACCCGGAGAAGAGGCCCCGGCUAACUUCGUG